AGCGCGACCGGGUCGACCGCGCGGGUGGCGGUCAGGUAGUCGCGGAUGACGAUGCCGUGCCGGUUCUC
rnacentral:sRNA from 1 species